rnacentral:rRNA from 1 species
UACGAAGGGGGCUAGCGUUGCUCGGAAUCACUGGGCGUAAAGCGCACGUAGGCGGAUUUCUAAGUCAGGGGUGAAAUCCUGGAGCUCAACUCCAGAACUGCCUUUGAUACUGGGAAUCUCGAGUCCGGGAGAGGUGAGUGGAACUGCGAGUGUAGAGGUGAAAUUCGUAGAUAUUCGCAAGAACACCAGUGGCGAAGGCGGCUCACUGGCCCGGUACUGACGCUGAGGUGCGAAAGCUAGGGGAGCAAACGGG